rnacentral:rRNA from 1 species
CUGACGCAGCAACGCCGCGUGAGGGAUGACGGCCUUCGGGUUGUAAACCUCUUUCAGCAGGGACGAAGCGAGAGUGACGGUACCUGCAGAAGAAGGACCGGCCAACUACGUGCCAGCAGCCGCGGUAAUACGUAGGGUCCGAGCGUUGUCCGGAAUUAUUGGGCGUAAAGGGCUCGUAGGCGGUUCGUCGCGUCGGGAGUGAAAACUCGGAGCUUAACUCCGAGCCUGCUUCCGAUACGGGCAGACUAGAGGUAGGCAGGGGAGAGCGGAACUCCUGGUGUAGCGGUGGAAUGCGCAGAUAUCAGGAAGAACACCGGUGGCGAAGGCGGCUCUCUGGGCCUUACCUGACGCUGAGGAGCGAAAGCGUGGGUAGCGAACAGGAUUAGAUACCCUGGUAGUCCACGCCGUAAACGUUGGGCGCUAGGUGUGGGGGACAUUCCACGUCCUCCGUGCCGCAGCUAACGCAUUAAGCGCCCCGCCUGGGGAGUACGGCCGCAAGGCUAAAACUCAAAGGAAUUGACGG